CUGUUUACUUCAGCAACAUAUAUACUACAGUUGAAACAACACAAAAAAAAUUAGCCUGGUCCCUGAGCAAGCAUGGCAUGCAAAUUUAUCGUUUUCCAUAUUUUU